rnacentral:rRNA from 1 species
UACGUAGGGUCCAAGCGUUAUCCGGAAUUACUGGGCGUAAAGCGUGUGUAGGCGGCGCGUUUAAGUGCAACGCGAAAUCCUGUGGCUCAACCAUAUGGACUGUGUUGCAUACUGGCGUGCUUGAGGAUGGCAGAGGCAAGUGGAAUUUGUAGUGUAGCAGUGAAAUGCGUAGAUAUUACAAGGAACACCAAUGGCGAAGGCAGCUUGCUGGGACGGUACUGACGCUGAGACGCGAAAGCGUGGGGAGCAACAGG